rnacentral:lncRNA from 1 species
UCUCAAACCUUUCAAAAAUAUGCAUCUGAGGUCCAAAUAGAUGGAAGCCGUCCAUUUGACUGUUAGUUGACCAAGAAAAUUGGACUUCAACCAAAUUGAAAAGGGGUAAAAUGAUAACAUUAGAAUUAACAUUUUUUUUUUUCAACAUUAUUAAUAAUUAAACUAAGAAAACAAAAAAGAAAGCAACCCUAUCUUUAUCUUCUUCCCUCUCCCGACCUUCAGCCCUACCCCUCCAGCCAAACCAUAAUCCAAAGUCGCCGACAGCCACCACCAAACCCACAGCCACACAAGAACCAAAACCACCUCCACUAAAUCGAACCAUCACCUUCCACCUCCAUUUCUUCUAAACUUCAACACCGCCUCCACUAAAUUGAACCCAAAAGUUACGGGAAUUCAAAAGAUCUACUUGAGCGAUCCUUACCUAUUUCACUUCUCCCAUGGUGUACAUGGUUUCUGUUUUCUCGUCCAUAAAAUUCAUUUUCCAACCAAUUUUGUGAUCUCUUAGCAAGAUCCAAGCUAAGAGCCAUGGAUUCACAAAGGAGACUCUCUACACCAAACAUAGGGACAGUGCCAUUUGGUUUCAAGGAAGGUAAGGUGCAUCCCGGAUAUAGCAAUAGCUUGAUUUGCUUGGAGGGUUUCAAAUAAGGAAAGUGCAUCAUAUUGGUCAGUACUCGACUGGAUUUUCUAUGUUGCAGUCGUGGUAGAGAUGGUGGUGGUGGGAUUUUCCACCAAUAAUUUCUUGUAGAAUUGAAUUGAUUAAUUUGAGAUAGAUAGAUAACUGUCCAUCGAGUUGACUAUGGGUUUUGUGGUGGCGAUUGGUGGCUUUGGAUUGUGUUUGGUUGGAUGUUAGGUGGGGAUGGGGGUGGAGAUUGGGUUGGGUUAGUUUGGGCGACUGUGGAAGGCAAGGAAAUGGCAGCGCGGCGAUGGUUGAAGGUUGUGGAGUUGUGGCGAUUUCGGGAAGUAACUGAUUAGUUGUCGAUGAGUAGGCUGUGGUGGUGCCGACAGGUUUGUUUAAUGUGGUGGUGGUGUCGGCAGCUAUGGGAAGAAGAAGAUUUCUUUCCUUUUUUUUAUUUAAUUGUUCGAAUUGUUAAUAAUAAUUAGAAAUAUGUAAAUAUACCUUUUCGCCCUUUCUAAUUUGGUCAAAAUUGAUUAAAUUUUGACUUUUCUGGUCAAGUAACUGUCGAAUGGAUAGUUUCCAUCCAUUUGGAUCUCAGGUGCAUAUUUUUAAAAGAUUUGGAAUUGUGGUUGGCACAAAAUGAAGAUUAGGGUAAAGUCUGCAAAAAAGUGAAAGUGA